rnacentral:rRNA from 1 species
AUACGUAGGGGGCGAGCGUUAUCCGGAAUUAUUGGGCGUAAAGAGUACGUAGGCGGUCCGACAAGCGCAAGGUUUAAGGCAACAGCUCACAUGUUGUUCGCCUUGUGAACUGUCAGACUUGAGCGCGGGAGAGGACAGCGGAAUUCCUGGUGUAGCGGUGAAAUGCGUAGAUAUCAGGAGGAAUACCGGUGGCGAAGGCGGCUUUCUGGACCGUAACUGACGCUGAGGUACGAAAGCGUGGGGAGCAAACAGGAUUAGAUACCCUGGUAGUCCACGCAGUAAACGAUGAUGGCUAACCGCUGGGCUUAUCAGUUCAGUGGCCAAGCGAAAGCGAUAAGCCAUCCACCUGGGGAGUACGACCGCAAGGUUGAAACUCAAAGGAAUUGACGGGG